GGCACUAUUUUAUUCAGAUAGUGUUAUUUGUACGCCAAUAAUAUCCCAAAUCCUAUUAUUAUUCAUUGAUUUCAAAUUUUAAUUUUAUUUUUUUUUGGAAUUUUUGGUAAGUUCAAGAAUAAUUUUUGAGUUUUUUGUGUUUUUGAAUCCAAGGGCAAGAAUGAAUGGAAAAAUCUCAAAAUCAUUGUGUGUUGACAAUGCUAAGGAGCUUCUCGAUUCUGUUGAUGCAUUUCUCUUCGAUUGC
rnacentral:misc_RNA from 1 species